AUUGAACGCUGGCGGCAGGCCUAACACAUGCAAGUCGAGCGGAUGAAGGGAGCCUGCUCCUGGAUUCAGCGGCGGACGGGUGAGUAAUGCCUAGGAAUCUGCCUGGUAGUGGGGGAUAACGUCCGGAAACGGGCGCUAAUACCGCAUACGUCCUGAGGGAGAAAGUGGGGGAUCUUCGGACCUCACGCUAUCAGAUGAGCCUAGGUCGGAUUAGCUAGUUGGUGGGGUAAAGGCCUACCAAGGCGACGAUCCGUAACUGGUCUGAGAGGAUGAUCAGUCACACUGGAACUGAGACACGGUCCAGACUCCUACGGGAGGCAGCAGUGGGGAAUAUUGGACAAUGGGCGAAAGCCUGAUCCAGCCAUGCCGCGUGUGUGAAGAAGGUCUUCGGAUUGUAAAGCACUUUAAGUUGGGAGGAAGGGCAGUAAGUUAACACCUUGCUGUUUUGACGUUACCAACAGAAUAAGCACCGGCUAACUUCGUG
rnacentral:rRNA from 1 species